rnacentral:rRNA from 1 species
AUAAAGGUCAAUGUUGUCGUUCGACCUUCCGAAGUUAAGCAUCAACGGGCGUGGUUAGUACCUGGAUGGGUGACCGCCUGAGAACACCGCGUGCUGUUGGCA